rnacentral:rRNA from 1 species
CUAGUCGUACGAGUUCAGGCUCGUGGCGAAUAGCUCAGUAACACGUGGUCAAACUACCCUGUCGAGCGGGACACCCUCGGGAAACUGAGGCUAAUCCCGCAUACGGCUCGCUGCCUGGAGUGGCGCGAGCUCGAAACGCCCCGGCGCGACAGGAUGUGACUGCGGCCGAUUAGGUAGACGGUGGGGUAACGGCCCACCGUGCCAAUAAUCGGUACGGGUUGUGAGAGCAAGAGCCCGGAGACGGUAUCUGAGACAAGAUACCGGGCCCUACGGGGCGCAGCAGGCGCGAAACCUUUACACUGCACGCCAGUGCGAUAAGGGGACUCCCAGUGCGAGGGCAUAUCGUCCUCGCUUUUGUGUACCGUAGGGAGGUACACGAAUAAGGGCUGGGCAAGACCGGUGCCAGCCGCCGCGGUAAUACCGGCAGCCCAAGUGAUGACCGCUAUUAUUGGGCCUAAAGCGUCCGUAGCCGGCCACGCAAGUCCGUCGGGAAAUCCGCACGCCCAACGUGCGGGCGUCCGGCGGAAACUGCCUGGCUUGGGACCGGAAGACCAGAGGGGUACGUCCGGGGUAGGAGUGAAAUCCCGUAAUCCUGGACGGACCACCGGUGGCGAAAGCGCCUCUGGAAGACGGAUCCGACGGUGAGGGACGAAAGCUCGGGUCACGAACCGGAUUAGAUACCCGGGUAGUCCGAGCCGUAAACGAUGUCUGCUAGGUGUGACACUGGCUACGAGCCAGUGUUGUGCCGUAGGGAAGCCGUGAAGCAGAC